GGAAGGUGCGGCUGCGGCCAGCCAGACUGCCUUGAAAGCAGUUAUGCGGUAACCAUUCCGGGGGAUCGACACCUCCACCUUCCG
rnacentral:tRNA from 1 species